UCCUCUAUUUGAAUGGCUGCCUGGUCCAGGCCUGGUUUAAAGAUAAAGAGCAAUUAAGGAUGGAGAGCAGAGUUGCCCUUAGAGACUUGGCCACUGGACAGCACACUAAGCAGACACCUGGGCGGUUUCCAUCACUGUGGUGAGAUGUCUUUUUGCCCUUUAAGUCCUAGUGGGCAAGAGCCACCAUUGCGGUGAACACAUCACUUGGAAGCAGGGGAGUGCAUUGUUCUGUCUGCCACACCACACUGGCUCAUCAACAGUGUGAUCCUACAUGUUUCCACUCAGAAGCAAGCCCCAUAAAGUUCAAUUGGACUGACUCCUGGGGUGCAAAUGAAGAAGAAGAAGAAGAAGAAGAAGAAGAAGAAGAAGAAGAAGAAGAAGAAGAAGAAGAAGAAGAAGAAGAAGAAGAUUCUAAAGUCUGAAGGAAAAACCUGCAACUUUAAACAUUCCAGUUCAGCAUACUGUUUCUCUCUACCACAAGACUGCCCUUGACUCAGCUAAGCAUGCUAUUUCCUAAGCCCAAUUUUCCUCAGGAACCUUCUUCAAGGCAAGCAUAUUUCGGCAAGCAUCUGCAAGCAUCUAUGCGCGGAGGAAUGCGGUUGCGUAUGGUCCUUAUAAACGAGCAUUUAAAAGGAUUCCUCUGGAUCAGUGGAAUGGGAAGAAUCUAAUCUCUGAAAAUGCUUUGCUUUCUUCCUAUGCCUCUAACAUGCAGCUAAUGCUUGCUCACAGACCCUUAGUUCACGGCCACAGCCGAUUGUGAAAUUGCCCCCUCAGGUUCCUUCCACAAAGCCUUCCUCUGUUGAAAAGACGAAACGGCAGGGGAGCAAGAGAUCCGAAGAUCAUUUGGCUGCUCCUUUCACUGUGCAGGUGUUUGUGUGCAGGACACUAAAGGUGUUGUUGCCGUUUUCUUCAGUCUAAUUUCAGCAGCAGCCUGUGCAGUAUGGUGACACUGGGGAGCAGCUCUCCAACACCAAAGUCACAGUUGACAUGAACAAGUCUGGGCCGGACAAGGUAGAGGUGAGAUCGGAACCGUGAGGGCACA